rnacentral:miRNA from 1 species
CUCCCUCGCGGUUCCCAUAAUUCCCAGCAUCUACACAUCACAGAUUAAGGAUUACUGUAUGAUGUGUAGAUGCUGGGAAUUCUGGGAACCGCGAGGGAG